GGGGUUGACUCGAGCUCUUUAGGGGUUGACUUAAGUUGAGAUCCUAAAAAUACAGCUUUCUAUCUUCACUGAGAGAGUCGACUCUUGCUUGUUAUGGGUUGACUCAAGUGCAUACCAGUCUACUCCAACUAUUCCAAAGUCGACUCCUCUUCUCCCAAGGUUGACUUCUAAACUUUUUGAACUUUAGAAUUUUUCUAUUUUCAACCUAUUUCUAUUUAGGGGU
rnacentral:lncRNA from 1 species